ensembl:lncRNA
GUGCGCUGGUCAUCCAAGACUUUCCAGAUACAACUGUACUGGUGAAGAAUUAUUUCUGCUGUCUGACUCUGGAGAAGUGCGUCGCUGAUUCUGUGAACAGCUGCCAGCAUCUACAGGUUACGCUUCCCGUCAUCAUUAGCAGGUCUGGUUCAGCCAGUGGCCCAGAGGGAGUUCAGAGAGGACCUGAGUUGUGAGAUGAGGUGAAAGCCGCCCAUAUUCCCACAGUGACCGUACAGUCUGUUCACAUUAUCAGGUUACAGAAUCCAUGGCAACAUGGGACAUCUCGGCAUUCUGGGAUUAAGCAAGAUCAGCCUAGCUCACUCUUUUUCUUACAUACACAGCCAUUCAAAAGGUU